GGAGGAAGGAGGGGGGGCUUCAUUUCUGAUAUCUUUCAUCACCGGCAGAGACCAUCUCUGGCAGCUCUCCUGGACCACCCUCCAUUCAUUCGGACAGCCAACUCCACCAUAUCACGUACCUGAGCCUCGCACACCCUCCUCUGCCUCUCCAUCACUCUACAAGCAACCCAUCCCUUUGUCUCUCGGUCAAUCUCUGUCUCCCAGCCGCACAUCCACUUUGCCGGCCACCCUCCAGAUCCACCACGCCGACAACAUCACAACCAUCGCUACCACUGUCACCAUCUCUAGAUCCGGCUAACGCUGCUCCAUGACCACCAGCAACUCUCCAGCUAUCUUGUCGUCCCCGGAUCUCACUGCCGCUGCUCAAACAAAAACCCCCCUGCGAGCACCACCUCACACUGGAAAAACAUCCGAGAAAACCAACAGUUCUCCGGCCACCUCCCAUCGCAUCUCUCACGUCGCAUGCACCAUUUCCCGGCCUUUCGUUCACCGACUCCAGCCAUCUGCAUUUUUGAACCACCUGCGGACUCUUUCCAGAAACUCUGUUCUAGUAGAGUCUGCUAUUCAGGUCGGGUUCCACCUCACCCAGCUUGCAUUUUCACUCCACUAGACAACCAUUAACACACACAGUUGGGCAACACCCUGCUCAUCAUCCCCAAAGCUCCCUGACCCGCUGCCACUACCGCCGUGAACCACACCAGAGCGCCCUCACUCCUUCUCCCUCUGUUUCACCAGCAAACAAACCAGCAUCCAUCAUUACCGCCUCCCUCGAGCACACGAGCCAUCGCCCAUAGCAGCAGCCCCCUCUGCUUCUUGGCCAGGCCGCAGCUUCUUCAAAUUCCUGUGUAGCCACCACUUCACUCGGCCUCACUCUCCCUCUCACCGCAAACUCAGAUCCAUACCACGUAACCCCGCAGCAUCAUCCUCUUUGAAGAGAUUUCUUGAGAAGCAUAAAAGGCUACAGACAGUUCUACUUGUUGUGGUGUUAUUGGGUGCUUCUGUGGUUGUAGGUGAUGGUCUUCUCACUCCUACAAUUUCAGUUCCAUCAUCUGUACCAAGGCCGCAUGCUACAGAAUCCAAAUUAACCAAAGGUUCUUUGGUCAGACUGGCGAAGAUGGUCGGAUUUCUCUUGGAGGAUAUUUAUUCAAGUUCACAUCUCCUCUGAUGUUCUCUUAUUAAUUGAUGUUUCAAUUGAUCCAUCUGGCUUGAAUCUUAGUUUUGAUCUUGGGAUUUCCGGAAGAAAUGUUGGAGGUUUAUCUGAGGACAUCCUCGAGGUUGAGCUUUGAGAGCUCGAGGUUUUAUAGCAUUAUUGGGAAAUAAAAAAAUAAAAGGGUAUAUUUCUAUGUUAAUUUUGGGGAAUGUAAAUAUUUAUGUUUUAUGUUUUAUGUUUUAAGACUAUUAAGUAAAGAAUGAUUGUGAAAAUACUGAAUUGUUUUGGGAGUUAUGUAUUUAUGGAAAUGCAGGUGAUGGAUGAUUUAUUAUAGAUUAUAGUUAAAAUUAAUAAACUUUGGUAUUAUAUUAUAUAGAAA